rnacentral:rRNA from 1 species
GACAGAGGAUGCAAGCGUUAUCCGGAAUCAUUGGGUUUAAAGGGUCCGUAGGCGGUUUGGUAAGUCAGUGGUGAAAGCCCAUCGCUCAACGGUGGAACGGCCAUUGAUACUGCUAGACUUGAAUUAUUAGGAAGUAACUAGAAUAUGUAGUGUAGCGGUGAAAUGCUUAGAGAUUACAUGGAAUACCAAUUGCGAAGGCAGGUUACUACUAAUGGAUUGACGCUGAUGGACGAAAGCGUGGGUAGCGAACAGG